rnacentral:lncRNA from 1 species
UCGAGCCGCAUCACGCUGAUGCUUCUAUUAUAUAGCGUCCAAAUCCAUGUCCACUCCCACGUCUGCUUCUUCCUAUACAUCAAGAAAUGUUAUUGGUGCUGCCUUCCGUCAUCCCUUUGCAGUUUUAACAGUUCUCUUGCCAUCAUCAAGAGCAGCACAGCAUCCAUUUUCAUUGGUCCUCCUACGUGUUAUUGAUCGAUUUGUAUAGCCUCUCAACAGCAGCAGCAGCGCAGUUCUAACAGGAGGACCUGGAGUAAUAGUUCCCUUUUUAUUGGAAAUCCAUUUAACUUCCAAGUGCUGCCAUCACACUAGUACUGGCUGUGAUAUGCCACUGCAGCAGCUGUGAUAUGUCAACAACUGCUCGUGUUUCAUUCAAAUAGUUUCCUCCUCCAGCACAGAGCAAAGCCAUUGCUAUGCGACUCGUGUUGCCAUCACAGCGUUGAUUCCAUCAGCUUCUAUAUCGAUUGAGUCGUCAACAGAUCAACCAAGCAGGUAGAUAUUUUUAUUUCUUGUCGUGUGUGAAUGCAGGAUCAAUACCGUGUCUGUAACUGACAGCAACGUAGACGCAGUAACCUUAACAAUCAAGAUUAUUUCAGUCCCACCUCUAUAUUUAUCAUAAAAUUGGAAUUUUUUUUUAAUUACUAAAGUUCAAUCAGAAAAAAAACACGUUUCAAUCAUCAGUCAGCUUCUUGUUUUUAAGUAUAACGAGACUGCUGUUGUGAGUCGGUUGCACAAUCUCAUCUGUAUUGACUUAGGUUGUGGAUGACACGAUCGUUGAAUCGUACGCCUCUAGUGGGGCAAUCGCACAAUGCUUGUGCUGGCUAUAUUAUACUCGUAUAUCUUUCUCAAUCCAACGAUUGUAUAUAGUCGUGCAUCAAAAAUUGUAUAUGUAGAUAAACCUCAUCUGCAUAUACGUAUAAAGGCCAUGGAUGGCAAUAAAUAAUUGCCUAAUGUCAUAUGCCUAAGCUGUCAAACAGCCAUGGAGAUUCUCGUCAGGCGAUGUUGAAUUUAGUUUUAAACGCUUCAUCAAAGCCAGAAAUCGUUAAAAAACUGAAAACCCCAUCCAGCUAACCGGAAAAUAUGUACCAAAUAGAGUUAUCUUGUUUAUAGAUAGGCAUUAUUAAUUAGGCUAUUUUAUUGAGCAUGUGUAGUCAAAAAUAAACAGUCUGGCAUUAAACGUCAGAUUCUUUUCCAAUCGAGAUUCCAUCCAGACAAGUCUGUGCUUUCCCUUAUAUGCAUGAGAGCUACCAUGUAUAUAAUAUACUAGAGCAGCAACCAUGUAGCAUUAUCAAUUUCUAAAAGUUCAUAUAAUAACAGCCAUAAAGAAAAUAUAAUUCAUCAGAUAAAAAUUAACUGUCUGGAACAAGAUAUACUCUACCAAGAUUUGUAUACGAGAGUGUCACUGAUUAUUUUUCUAAUCGUAUACUCUAUUUAUACUAUCUAGGCCCGUGUAUAUUACAAUUAUUUCCAUUUGAAAAAGUCUAUAUUCAGUAUCAAUAUAUUAUAAUGAUUUCUACAUAUACGUAUAUAAUGAGCGAAAAAACACUUAAGAAUUUCUCUUUCCAUCUUCUUGGAAGAAGCGUCUGGUUUAUUAACAGUUGUGAGUUGCUCACUGUAAAAAACCCAACAAGAAAAAACCUUAUAUCUAUAUUAAUCAUCGUCGCUCUCCCAUUGGUUGUAUCCCAUAUCAAAAUGGCUGCCACAAGACACAUGAUGUGGUGUACGUACUGUGGCAUUUUCACUUUUCCCUCGUACGUUUUCCCUACUCCCGAUAUUGCCGUAGAAUUUCCAAGAAAACGUCAAUUCUAUUUUAUUUAGACGGUUUGAUGAAGAAAAAAGAUUUCAGAGUGCGUUGUACUUCAUCACGAACAAGGAAAUACUUUUAAUAAUUUCAAGGUAAUGUGAUUUGAUAUUCAUUCAAAUGUUAUAUGGAAGUCUGUGGUCGUCAGAAUCGUAUUCCACAGCGCCAUGUAUGUUUCCCCCCUUGUCCAAUUUUGCUCUCAGUUUGUAGCAGUGUGAAAGGUGAGAGAAUUACGUAUAAGCAUAUAUUCGAUUAUUAUUUGUGUGCCUAUCCGGCUUAGACCAGCAGAAUAUUUAUAUUGACUAGCUAUAAUAUACUGCACAGAUCAGAUUAAAUUUCAAUGAAAGGACAACCAAGUUGAUGUAAUAUCAUACGUAUAGAUGUAUCUUUAUAUUAAAAGUUUGUUUAAUUGACAUUUGGUUAGUUUUCAUUAGAGUCGUCGAAAUGCCUAGCAUUUUGUUGGCUUCCCUACAAAAAUGACGCAGUGUACGAGUUAACAUUAGUUUAUUUUGAUAGACGAGCAUUGGCGCCAACUAUCGGCAGUCCCGCCAACUGAAAGAAUUGAUUCACAUUGGGAUAGGACAAUCCUUUUGUGCCUGUCAAUAUAGUCUCGUAAAAUAACUUGGCUCACGCUGAAGCACCUCCCGUGUCACACGUAAGUAAACAAAAGCUGCUGACCUAACCCAGUCAAAAAACGGGUGUGUGAAACACUUUUACGCCUUCAUUGGUUGCCCAAUAGCAGCAUGUCAGGCCUUGUUGCAGCUUUUAAAGUUAUGGGGCGUAAAUAAAUGCAAUUCUUCUCGUUUCAAGUGAAGCCAUUAAAAGACGAGACUAUAUAAUAAGGGAAAUAAGUUUUCACGAACAUAUUCCGGCUGUAGAUGUGUCACCCAAGUUGGCGACCAAUGAAGCACUCCAGCUCAUCUAAGCUGAGAUAGUCUUGUUACCAUGACACAUCAGCAACGGUAAAUGCUUUAUUAGAAGUGCGUCAUAUAGCUACUCUUAUACUUCCGUUGCACUGAAAUAUAUAUAGCUAAGAGCUAUCAAACUGACUCCGUCUAUCUGUAAAAUUGAGAAACCCAUUUAAUGCUGAUCGUCUUAUAUUGGGAGAAUUGUUGUUAAUGUAUAGGCCUGUAUAAUAUUCCAUCAUCAUAUCAUAAAACGCUUUUAUUGGCUAGACAUUCCCAUUUUAUGCCACUCGAACAGUAUAUAUAAUGUGCAUGCCGUAAUUGUAUUAAUCAUGCAAAUGAUUGUUCACGAGCUAAAUUAGACAUUAGUAUCCUGCUAUGCAACGGUAUACACAAGUGUAGAUAGUACGUAUUAACCUAACCUUAAAAACGGUGGCUGAUUGGCUGUGUCAUCAGUGAGGCGUAGUUUCCCGUAAAUCAUUUUUUCAAAGUCUAUUUUUCAGUUUUAAUUUUUUUUUAACUUAAAAGAAGCAAAACUAUAACGCACGUCAACAUAUUUAGUUGGCCCAUUCUUUUUAGUUUCUGUUAGCCUGUGUGAAAAAAACACUGAAACGCUAUAAAAGAAAACCGUGUCGUAACUUUUUAAUUGGACUGUUGUAUUGUGCACAUCACGUUUUUAUUCACAGUCCACAUACAAUGUCAACAUUAUUGCGCAGUAUGAAACAGAAGGUACAUGCUCGCGCCAACUAUCGGCCGUCGUGCCAACCGAAAGAAUUGAGUUGGUAACGAGAAACAACUUGUUAGCAAAGGUCCGGUCAUGACGACACCGAAAUCGUGAAACUUCCUGUGCUCAGCUUGUUAUUAGGUCCAAGGCCAUCAUCAUCUUCUGUAGAUUGUCAAGUCAACAUAAUCAUCUGUGACGUGUAUCCAUUUCCACAGUUGCAAUGUCUUUACUGCAGCAGUGACGCGUUACAUUUUAUUUCCCUUGCACAGACAGACCGUUAGAAAUCAAUACGAAAAACAAGGUCUCGACUUGUCGGCAUAAUAAGAUGGAUACGAAGCUACGCCUCAGGAAAUCAGUCAGAUUUAGAACAACUUCUGCUAUAUUCUGCCAGCAGUCUGUAAGUCUGUAAGUUAUCUUGACAUGCUAAGAAGUAAAUCUGUACUAAAAUCCCUUUUUACAACUUCCAGUUCCAAGUUUGGUAGUGUAUUGGUAGAUCUAGUUCAAGUUUUGUAAUGGAGUUGGUAAACCGUUAACGUGUAUGGAAAUAUGAAUGAAUUCUUGUGUAUUGCGACCACUUUCUUAGGAAUUUUUUAUUCAAACUAAUCUCACAGAUUAUUGGCCUUUGAGUACAAGUCUGUUAUAUAUUUGAAUAAAGUAAUAAAUAUAUCUAUAGGCUAUUUCCCAAUUCAAAAGAACUAUGUGUAAUCAUAAUGCUCAUAACGAUAACAAGUCUCUUUUUUGUAUUUUAAGUUGCUUUACAUUGUUACUUUUUGCUAUUUAUCGAUCUUUGCAAGUCCGUACGUAUACGUGCUGCUCUGGUCUGCUCUGUACGACUUCUUGGAAACCUGCCGAAUACACACUUUGCCCGUUAUAGUUCGAAAUUCUCAGUUUUUUCUCUUUUAUUUGUCUUCUUUAGUUUAUUUAGACUUUGUAAACCUACGUCAACAGUUGAAAACGUAAGAAUGUGUCAGCAAACAACUGUUUAGUUUGAAAGACGAUGGAAAUAUUGAUGUUCUUUGGCUUUUAUACUAAACUAACGGCAGAUUUGAAGUUUAUGCAUUUAUUUGAAACACGUUGAAGGAGUUCACUUGCAUUAUUUAAUAAAAUCUUAUGUACGUACAUGUCCCAGCAAAAGCAUCAUUUAUUGAAUUGCAUUAUCCGACCAUCGAUUUUCCCCUUGGAAACUUUGGGCUUCAAAUUCUAAUUCGACCGAAAAAACUACAAUAAACUUGAUUAUCCUAAUGGAUCCUGUUUUUUGUCAUACCCACUUCAAACUUAAAAUAUUUAUCACUUAAAUUGUGUACCUGAAUAUCCAAGUAGAAAAACUGUUGGCCGUAAAGUGCAUUUUAAUUAUUGAUCUGAACAAGAAAACGACGCAAAAAGAUAGUCUGCUGAUGCUGAAAUAUAUUUUAUUUCAUGUCAUUACAUUUUAUUUCACAUCAUAGCAAUUUGGCAAUUCAGCUUUUAAAUUUAAUUAAAAAAAAAUUUUGUCUAAAACAUUUGAUACGCGUAGUACUAAAUUGAUAAUUACAUCUGGCUAAUCAAUCAAUUGAUUCGAUUCAGUGCUUGAUUGCUCAUUGGUCGAGAGCCAUUCCAAAAUGGCCGCCACAGUGUAAAGAACACCAGUGUGAUCUGCAGCAGCCAGCCAGCCACAGCGACUUGUGUUGGGUUAGGUCGUCGUCCCAUUGUAAUGAGUCACCGACUCACCGUAUAGUUGUGUAGUUGUUUGCCUACGUGAUUUACCACAGCUGUUUUAAGUGAAUUAUUACAACCACCAUGCCCCUAGAGAAAGUACAGAAACUUUGAUAAUCCAACAACCUGUUCAAUACGGUCGUAAGCAUUCACAGGUCUUCACUCUUCACACAGAAUCUAUCACUAAUACGCCCACUGCAAGUCUGGAUGUCUAGUGAAAUAUCCACGUUCCCGCCACACAACCUAGAUCAAGAUAUUUCAUCUGUUUUUCAUUAUUUUGUUGAUGCUGGGAGCACUGUGAAUUUUUCGUGUGCCAAAAGAAAAGAAAAUUCUGAUUGUGGAGAGCGUUCCAGUUGAGUCACUUAUUACCAUACGACCGUGUCGACUCAACAACCUAGUCAACGAAAAAUGCCAAGAUAAUCAACCCAUUUCAUGUGCAACAAGUUUUGGCUUGUCAAAAACGUGCAGCAACCCCAUCUUUAUGUUCAAGGCCGCAAAACUCUCAACGACUUUCAACAGGAACCUCGAUUGCAGAGUUGUCUGCAACCUGUACAUUUUUCCUUUCUCACGUACUCGCCAACAUUCCGAUUCGUUUGUUUAUUUUGUGCUGAGUCAUUUUUUCUCACCACAUUUACAAGGUGAGAUAAGUUUACGACUCAGCUGAGGAAACGGUGGGUUUUUGGAUCAACAAUCACAGGCAACAAUUCCAAGAAUUGUCUUUUUCGUUAUUCUUUAGAAGAGAAAGAAUUCCGAGAAUUUAAGCUAUUUAUUUACAUUCUCCAAAUCUUGUUGUUGGGGCUGGUAAUGGACAGUGUUGGCCAUCUAGCGGCGAUCCGUACUACUUCGUCGUCCCCCCUACGAUUCCGGAAUUAUUCCAGACGAGGAAUGGAAUGUGUUCUCUUUCCCAUCCGUGAAUGGAUUUCAUUUGGAUUAUAUUGAGCAUCUCGUCAUAUCUGUGAUGUUGUGUGUUGUAUGGAUACAAAUUCCUCGUCGGUGCUGAUGAGUGAUGACUAACCGCAACCGCACCUGUCAUAAACAACAAUAAAUCUCCAAACCUGACGUGGAAAUGCCAUAGAACAAGUUCCAAGUUGAGACUUGUGUUUCCAAAGGACCGGUCGAGCCACCGUCAACAUUUUCCAGUUGAUGUCGACUGUAGCGAGAUCGAGGAUGCGUACGGCUUGCAUGGCCACAGGUAUCGGGUCCGGAUAGGAGUUUCCACAGCUGACGCUGAUUGGGUGGAUCCCGGCAAC